UCCCUGAUGGCUCAGAUGGUAAAGCGUCUGCCUGAAAUGCAGAUCAAACCUGGGUUCGAUCCCUGGCUCGGGAA
rnacentral:tRNA from 1 species